UGCGCAGGCGGCGGCUCAAGUCAGGUGUGAAAUCCCCGGGCUUAACCUGGGAAUUGCGCUUGAAACUAGGCUGCUUGAGUGUGGCAGAGGGGGGUGGAAUUCCACGUGUAGCAGUGAAAUGCGUAGAGAUGUGGAGGAACACCGAUGGCGAAGGCAGCCCCUGGGUCAACACUGACGCUCAGGCACGAAAGCGUGGGAGCAAACA
rnacentral:rRNA from 1 species